UGGGGAAUUUUGGGCAAUGGGCGAAAGCCUGACCCAGCAACGCCGCGUGAAGGAUGAAAUCUUUCGGGAUGUAAACUUCGGAAGAAUAGGAAGAAUAAAAUGACGGUACUAUUUUAAGGUCCGGCUAACUACGUGCCAGCAGCCGCGGUAAUACGUAGGGACCAAGCGUUGUUCGGAUUUACUGGGCGUAAAGGGCGCGUAGGCGGCGUAAUAAGUCACUUGUGAAAUCUCCGGGCUUAACUCGGAGCGGCCAAGUGAUACUGUUAGGCUAGAGUGCAGAAAGGGCAAUCGGAAUUCUUGGUGUAGCGGUGAAAUGUGUAGAUAUCAUGAAGAACACCGGUAGCGAAGGCGGUUUCCUGGUCCGUAACUGACACUGAGGCGCGAAAGCGUGGGGAGCAAACAGGAUUAGAUACCCCCGUAGUCCCUGAGCGGGCUGGCAAGGCGCAU
rnacentral:rRNA from 1 species